UAUCAGAUAGCUCAGUAGGUAGAGCAUAAGCCUCUUAAUCUUAGGGUUGUGGGUUCAAGCCCCACGUUGGGUGAA
rnacentral:tRNA from 1 species